rnacentral:rRNA from 1 species
UAGGGAAUCUUCGGCAAUGGGGGCAACCCUGACCGAGCAACGCCGCGUGAGUGAAGAAGGUUUUCGGAUCGUAAAGCUCUGUUGUAAGAGAAGAACGUGUGUGAGAGUGGAAAGUUCACACAGUGACGGUAACUUACCAGAAAGGGAGGGCUAACUACGUGCCAGCAGCCGCGGUAAUACGUAGGUCCCGAGCGUUGUCCGGAUUUAUUGGGCGUAAAGCGAGCGCAGGCGGUUUAAUUAGUCUGACGUUAAAGGCAGUGGCUUAACCAUUGUUCGCUUUGGAAACUGUUAAACUGGAGUGCAGAAGGGGAGAGUAGAAUUCCAUGUGUAGCGGUGAAAUGCGUAGAUAUAUGGAGGAACACCGGUGGCGAAAGCGGCUCUCUUGUCUGUAACUGACGCUGAGGCUCGAAAGCGUGGGGAGCAAACAGG